rnacentral:rRNA from 1 species
CGCGGCCUAUCAGCUUGUUGGUGGGGUGAUGGCCUACCAAGGCGUCGACGGGUAGCCGGCCUGAGAGGGCGACCGGCCACACUGGGACUGAGACACGGCCCAGACUCCUACGGGAGGCAGCAGUGGGGAAUAUUGCGCAAUGGGCGGAAGCCUGACGCAGCGACGCCGCGUGAGGGAUGACGGCCUUCGGGUUGUAAACCUCUUUCAGCAGGGACGAAUGUAGACGGUACCUGUAGAAGAAGCACCGGCCAACUACGUGCCAGCAGCCGCGGUAAUACGUAGGGUGCGAGCGUUGUCCGGAAUUAUUGGGCGUAAAGAGCUCGUAGGCGGUCUGUCGCGUCGAAUGUGAAAACCCGGGGCUCAACUCCGGGCUUGCAUUCGAUACGGGCAGGCUAGAGUUCGGUAGGGGAGUCUGGAAUUCCUGGUGUAGCGGUGAAAUGCGCAGAUAUCAGGAGGAACACCGGUGGCGAAGGCGGGACUCUGGGCCGAUACUGACGCUGAGGAGCGAAAGCGUGGGGAGCGAACAGGAUUAGAUACCCUGGUAGUCCACGCCGUAAACGUUGGGCGCUAGGUGUGGGGGUCCUUCCACGAUCUCCGUGCCGCAGCUAACGCAUUAAGCGCCCCGCCUGGGGAGUACGG